UUCAUUAAUAUUUGUUUUUUAUGUAUGGGGAUUAUUUCUUGGGAUUUUUGUAUAGCUGUUGUGUUUAGUAAGCUUUGGAAUUCAUUUCACUGUUGAAUGUUAUUACGAAAAGGAGGCGCAGUAACAAUCGCCAAUAAAUGAAAUAAUAAACAAACUUAGGUCGACAUUGUACGCUGAUAAGAGCCUACAGCAAAAGUCAUACAUAAUUUAUAACAGAGGGAGAGUGCCACAAGAGCAGACACUAAUAAACCACGCCACUCGCAUGCCAAAUCAUUCCGCAGCACAUUUCGAAUCGUCCACCAUGCCCGUAUCAUCAUAAUUGUGCAUACAAUAACUACAAUAUAUAUUAUCAAAUACGUUAGUCAAUACAAGUCGGAAGUCGGUGAAGGUGUCUAUGGCUCCACUGUGAAUUACGGUUAGUGCAUGUCUGAAGCUAGUUACGUUCGAAAUCUGGUCGGCGUAGUUCUACGAAAACACCUCAGCAAAAACUGCUUGAAGAGGAGUUCAUUAUGCUGCUUAACUGAUAGACCUCAUUGUGUACAUUAGGGUGCUUCAAACAAAAUUUUGAUUUUUUUUUU